rnacentral:rRNA from 1 species
CCUAUGGGAGGCAGCAGUUAGGAAUCUUGCGCAAUGGGGGAAACCCUGACGCAGCGACGCCGCGUGCGGGAUGAAGGCCCUCGGGUUGUAAACCGCUUUCAGCAGGGACGAAAUUGACGGUACCGGUGGAAGAAGCCCCGGCUAACUCCGUGCCAGCAGCCGCGGU